CCAUUGCACUCCAGCCUGGGUGACAAGAGCGAAACUCUGUCUCAAAAAAAGAAAAGAGAAAAAAGAAAUCUGUGGGAAAGUUCAUUGACUGUUGCAUUUAGAAUUAAAGAAGAAUGAAUCAGUGAAACAGGAUGACUGCACUUACCUUUAUGUGAAGAGCUGAGAAGACUUCAUUCUAUCUUGCUUCCGACAGAUGUUGGUUCCUAAGACUUAAGUUGGCCUCUUUUCUUGGUACUCAUUGUUUGAACCUGAUGGAUGGACUUUUUCCAUUCUCUGGGCAUCUCCUUCUCCUAAAGCCUUCAGAGUCAGACAGCAUAAGGGUAGUUCAUCGUUAUGGUAGUUUCCUUUCUUUGUUCCCAGUGUGAUCUCUUCGAUUUCAUGGACUUAACAAUACUAUUUAUAUGCUGAUGACUCACAGAUUUCUCUCUACAGGCUAGAUAUUUCCUUAUCCUCCUACAUUUGCCUGGGAAUUUCUUGGAGAUCUAAUAGCUGACUCAAACUUCAAGUCAUCCUUGCUUCACCAUUUCACUCAUCCCACAAAUGCAGUCCAUUUAGCAAGUUUAGUCUUUCUCCUUAUAUCCCAAGGUCGUCUACUCCUUUCUCUAAGUUAUUUUCACUCAAGCUUCGAUGUCCAUUAUCUCUUGCCAAAAUUAUGAUAGUUUUCUCUAAUAGACUCUCAGUCCUUUACUCUUGUUUCUGUUCUCCACAUAAUACCCUUAAGGAAUUUAUUUUACUAUUUUUAUUUAUAAAAAUGAAUAUGGGAGUCAGGGGCAGGAGUCAAUGUUUCUAGCCUCUCACCUCCAAAAUCCCUAAACAUUAAGAUAAAUUAUCAGAAACAUCUUGGUUCUUAAAGACUUCAGGUUCUGACAAAAGUGUGGAAGGUAAUUAAAGCUUCAUAUAAGAAGGUAAAUCUUAGUUGGAAGAUGGAAAUAUCUAAAUUAUGGUCUAAAAAUGUUAUAUGAUAUAGCAAAUCUAUACUCAUUCACAGGGCACAAGCCUAAAAAUAUUUAUGCUGUAAUAUUUAAGACAAUGGUCAGUGUUAGUUACUGAAAAACAUACACACAGGAUGUUGCUUUUAAAUUGGAAAUCAGGACAUGUCAUCCUGCUCCCACUAUCAUUGGGAAUGGCAUCCUGUUACUGUUAGCACAAGAUCCAAAUUCUUUUCAGGAUCCUCCUACAAGGGAGCAUGCCAUGAUUUCUGCCUAGAUGUUUUUGUUUACUUAUUAAUGAAAAAUGUUUUGGUAUAACAUACAUAUAAUGUAAUUCUACAGCUAGGUAACUUUCUAGUCAGCACACUGUGCAACCAGCACCUAGAUCAAGAAUCAGAGUUCUGUGCAGAAUGGCAUUGGGUGAAUAUUACACUGUUUAUCUGUUUUACAUUCAGGCCAUUAUACUUAGUGUCCCUAUGUAUGUUUUUUAUGAAUAUCUUUAUUUAUUUUUUCUUUUCUGCUUUUGAAAAUGCUUAUCUCCAAAUGGUCUAGACUUAAUGAGAAGUUCCAAAAUAAUAUACAAAUUUCUUGCACAUUCUUUUUGCAAGUUCCCCAAAAUAUGAUAUUUUACCAAUUUGCUUUAUUUUAUCUAUACACACACACCACACACAGGUAUGGUUUUUCUGAACUCUUUACCCUAUAACUCAAGUGUGUAUAUCAUAGAAAGAAGGGCAUUCUUUUGUAUAAUCAGAAUACUGUGAUCAAAAUCAAAAUAUUGACAUUGAUACAGUAUUAUUAUCUAAACUACAGAGCUUACCAAAUUUAACCAUCUUACUAAUAUUUUUUAUAGUAAAUGGGAAAAGAAGCCCUUUUCUGGACCUCUUCUUGUUAUCUCACUUACUCUGUUGUGCAUACACUAGCUUUCAUAACAUCCGGAAGUCAGAGCUUGCUAAUUAUAACCAAUUCUUUUGGAAAGAAAUCAUAUGGAUGCAAUGAAUGUGCAGUGAAUACUUGUAAACUACUCAUGACUAUACCUGAGAGAACUCAUGCAGGAAAGAAAUCCCAGGAAUAUCAUGAUUUUAGGAGAGCCCUUCCUAGUGAGUUAAAGCUCAUUGCUCAUCAGCAAACUCAAAACAGGAGUGAGACCCUACUGAUUUAAUCAAUGUCAUAAAGCCUUCAUUGCAAAUUCAGGUCUUGUGUAUCAUCAGAAACCUCAUCAUAGAGAAGGGAAAGUCUGUACAUGCAGUAAAUGUGGAGAAGUUUUCCCUUGGAAGUCAAAACUCAUUUUACAUCAAAGAAAUCAUUCAGGAGAGAGACCAUUCAUUUGCAAAGUAUGUGAUAAAGGCUUCGUGGUUAGGACACAUCUCACUGUACAUCAGAGAGCUCACACAGGAGAGAAACCAUAUGCUUGCUCAGAUUGUGAGAAAGCCAUCUCAAAAAAGGCUUUACUCAUGAUUCAUCAGUGAAUCCACACAGGAGAGAUACCCUAUUAAUGUGUUCAAUGUCAAACAGCUUUGAAGACCAGAUCUGAGCUCAGUUAUCAUCAGAAAGUUUUUCAUAGAAAAGGAAAAUUCUAGGGAUGCAGUAAAUGUGGGAAAGCUUUUCCUUGGAAGUCAAACCUCAUUUUGCAUCUCAGAACUCAUUCAGGAGAGAGACCUUUCAGGUGCAAAGUCUGUCAUAAAGCCUUCAUUGUUAGAACACGGCUAACUAUGCAUCAGAGAACUCACACAGGACAGAAACCAUAUGCUUGCUUGGAUUAUGAGAAAGCCUUCUUGAAAAAGGCUCAGCCUAUGAAGCAUCGGUGAAUUCACACAGGAGAAAGACCCUAUAGAUGCAGUGAAUGUCAAGAAGCUGUCAUCUGGAAGUUGGAUCUCAACAAUCAUAAGAAAACUCAUCAUGCAGUAAGGAAAUCCCAUGAAUGCAGUGAAUGUGGGAAGGUUUUAUCCUCCCCCAAAAAACUUUGUUAUACAUCAGAGAACCCAUACAGGGUAUUCAUUCAGGAGAAGGACCCUACAGAUCGAGUGAAUGCGGGAAAGCUAAGAAGAAUCACACCUCAUUGCAGGUAAAAAUUAAAAUCUCAUGAACGUUUUUAUAAUGAGAACCUUCUCCAGAAAGUCAAAACUCUUUGAAUAUCUUGUUUAAGAGAGAACUCUCAUAGAUACAGUGAAUGUGAUUGUGAUAAAGUCUUCCCAGUUAAUGUUUAUCUUCCUUAUUGUAGCAAACUCAUACAAGAGGAAACCCCUAUUAAUGCAGUAAAUGUGGUAAAACCUUCAUGUAGAUACCAAAGGUCACUAAUUAUAUCAGCAAACCCAUGUAGUAGAUAGGUCCUUCUGAAACGGAAUGUGGAAAGCUUUUGAAAGUGACGUAUACAUCAGGUACUUAAAUCAGAAGGGAAAAUGAUAGAGUUAAACUUGGCCAUUGGCCACAAAACCCAUUGCAUAGCAGGAAAGAAUUGCAGUGAUUGUCUAAAACUCUUAUUUAAAAUUCAGAGCUCCUGAAUUUUCCCCUAACUCACUUAUCAGAGAGAUCCUAUUCUCAAAGAAGGCAAUAAUAUUUAGGUUCAAUGAGGUAUAAAAUCCUAAUGGAGCCAUAUCUAUUCUGCUUCAGCAGAUUCAUACAUUUACCUAAAAGCUAUGGUUAUAGUCACAGGAAAUAGUUUCUGUGGAGGAUUAGAUAGCAUUAAGCAUCAUAAGUUUUUAAAUAUAGGAGCAGAAUUUGCUCCAUACAGAGAUUUUAUGAACACAGUGAAAGUGGUAAAAGCAUCAGUGAUAAGUUAUUUUUUAUUUCAUGGAUUCACUUCUUCACAUCCUACCAUGUCUUAAAUUGUGAAGCAUCUUGUGAUCUGGAAUGUCAUAGCAAUUGUCAGGGCUUUUUAAAUGUGUGAUGGCAGUUUAGAUUUGAGUAAUUACACUUGCCUGUAUAUAUAAUUUUACAAUGGUUUUGCAUUAUUACAGAAAGGAUUCCAGAAAAUAUUCUAUAAAUAUUAGACAUUUCAUUGUCAAAUAUUCCUUUUGAAUAUAUGAAAAAUAAGAAUAUAAUAAGGAUUAGUCAAAUAGUGACAAAGGAUUUUAGGGGUUAUGUUGUGGACUGUACUAUGUGACAUGGACUUUACAUAUUUAUAAACUUUAUUGUUUAUUUGGAAUCACACGAAGAAACAAUUUUCAGGGUUAAAGAAAUUCUCAACAUAAGACAAAAUGUUGAAUAAUACAAUGUAGUGCAAAUAAAAUGUUUUUUUCUUAUGAAUCAAAAUGUCUUGUAAUACAUAAUUUGACUCAUUAUUAAGGAGUUUAAAGAAUUAUACCACGUAAGUGUGAAUUCCUUAUUUUUACUGUCAUUUGUAGUAUUUUUGCCAACUGUGAUGAUCCAUCACAAGUAAAAGUUUACAUUUUUCUAAAGCCUUGUGACUCUGAAACAUCCAAAGAUUAUAAAAGAUUUACCUAAAAUUUUUAAAAUCCAGCAACACAUUAGAGUAAUGGAAGAAAAAAGUGUGAGGUUAUAUGAGGUGAGUUUAUGGCUAUAUAUUUCAAGUUUGUGUCACACAGAAACUUUUGAUUUGUUACGAUAAUAUGCCAUUGCUUUGGUGGUUCCUCAAAAAGUUAAAUCCAGAAUUACCGUAUGACCCAGGAAUUCCAUUCCUAAGUAAAAUACCCAUGAGAAUUGAAAACAGGUACUCAACCAAAUAUUUGUCCAUGAAUGUUUUUUAGCACUGUUCACAAUAGCCAAAAUGGCAUUUGGUUGAAAAAACUCAAAUGCUUAUCGAAGGAUGAAUAAAUAAAAUGUGCUACAUGCCUGUACAUAUGAAUACAUAAAUGAAUGUUCAGCUAUACAAAUGAAUGAAGUACUGAUGACAUGUUGCAUGAAUGAGCCCCAAAAACAUUAUACUAAGUGAAAGAAGCCAAAUGCAAAUUCCACAUUUUAUACUUUCAUUUUUAUCAAAUCCUCUGAAUAGGUAAAUCCAUAGAGAAAUAAAGCAAAUUAAUGGUUAUUGGGCACUAGAGGGGAAGGGAGAAUGGAAACCAUCUGUAUAGUAUGUAUGGGGUUUUCUUUUAGAAUGAUGAAAAUGUUUUUGAACUAGUUAGAGAUGGUGGUUGCAUAAUAUUGUAAAUGUACUAAACUUCACUGAAUUGUACACUCUGAAAUUGUUAAUAUUUGAAUUUUUAUAUGAAUAAAAUUAUAUUUAAAAAGAAAAAUAUUGCGUGAACUCUGGCACUUCAAAUAUGGACUUUUUUUUUAACAAAAUGAGACUUACUUGACUGAAUCGUCUAUAAAACUUCUAGUGAGUAGUUAUUAAAAAUCAAGGUUUUUAUUACCUCCAUGUGAAAUACCUGACCUAUUUUAGUUAUCAGUGAAACCUAUUGUUUUGCAAGGAAUUCUAUAAAAAUGUACCAGCAAAAUCUUGCUUAUUUUUUUCUCUAGAUUUUUGCCCCUUCCCCACUUUGUUUGACAGUUGUCAAGAAACCUUUUCUUCACCAUUUUAUUAUGAAAAUCUUCAGACAUAAAGAUGUUUAAGGAAUACUAAAGUAAACACUAAUCUGGAUUUGA